UGCUGUCUUAUGAUGAUUGAAAAGCAUAGUUCAACAGAAUAAAUGAUGUUGAUCGAAAUUUUCGCCCCUAUCUGAAGACCUAG